CUACCUUCUGACGAACCAUCAUGUCAUUAAUUUGGUGUGGUGGGGAAUCAGGACUGUUACUUUGAAAAAAUUAGAGUGUUUAAAGCAGGCUCGCGCUUGAAUACAUUAGCAUGGAAUAAUGAAAUAGGACGUUGAUCCUAUUUUGUUGGUUUCUAGGAUUGACGUAAUGAUUAAUAGGGAUAGUUGGGA
rnacentral:rRNA from 1 species